UUAAGCGACUAAGCGUACACGGUGGAUGCCCUGGCAGUCAGAGGCGAUGAAGGACGUGCUAAUCUGCGAUAAGCGUCGGUAAGGUGAUAUGAACCGUUAUAACCGGCGAUUUCCGAAUGGGGAAACCCAGUGUGAUUCGUCACACUAUCAUUAACUGAAUCCAUAGGUUAAUGAGGCGAACCGGGGGAACUGAAACAUCUAAGUACCCCGAGGAAAAGAAAUCAACCGAGAUUCCCCCAGUAGCGGCGAGCGAACGGGGAGGAGCCCAGAGCCUGAAUCAGUGUGUGUGUUAGUGGAAGCGUCUGGAAAGGCGCGCGAUACAGGGUGACAGCCCCGUACACAAAAAUGCACAUGCUGUGAGCUCGAUGAGUAGGGCGGGACACGUGGUAUCCUGUCUGAAUAUGGGGGGACCAUCCUCCAAGGCUAAAUACUCCUGACUGACCGAUAGUGAACCAGUACCGUGAGGGAAAGGCGAAAAGAACCCCGGCGAGGGGAGUGAAAAAGAACCUGAAACCGUGUACGUACAAGCAGUGGGAGCACAGAGCAAUCUGUGUGACUGCGUACCUUUUGUAUAAUGGGUCAGCGACUUAUAUUCUGUAGCAAGGUUAACCGAAUAGGGGAGCCGAAGGGAAACCGAGUCUUAACUGGGCGUUAAGUUGCAGGGUAUAGACCCGAAACCCGGUGAUCUAGCCAUGGGCAGGUUGAAGGUUGGGUAACACUAACUGGAGGACCGAACCGACUAAUGUUGAAAAAUUAGCGGAUGACUUGUGGCUGGGGGUGAAAGGCCAAUCAAACCGGGAGAUAGCUGGUUCUCCCCGAAAGCUAUUUAGGUAGCGCCUCGUGAAUUCAUCUCCGGGGGUAGAGCACUGUUUCGGCAAGGGGGUCAUCCCGACUUACCAACCCGAUGCAAACUGCGAAUACCGGAGAAUGUUAUCACGGGAGACACACGGCGGGUGCUAACGUCCGUCGUGAAGAGGGAAACAACCCAGACCGCCAGCUAAGGUCCCAAAGUCAUGGUUAAGUGGGAAACGAUGUGGGAAGGCCCAGACAGCCAGGAUGUUGGCUUAGAAGCAGCCAUCAUUUAAAGAAAGCGUAAUAGCUCACUGGUCGAGUCGGCCUGUGCGGAAGAUGUAACGGGGCUAAACCAUGCACCGAAGCUGCGGCAGCGACACUGUGUGUUGUUGGGUAGGGGAGCGUUCUGUAAGCCUGUGAAGGUGUGCUGUGAGGCAUGCUGGAGGUAUCAGAAGUGCGAAUGCUGACAUAAGUAACGAUAAAGCGGGUGAAAAGCCCGCUCGCCGGAAGACCAAGGGUUCCUGUCCAACGUUAAUCGGGGCAGGGUGAGUCGACCCCUAAGGCGAGGCCGAAAGGCGUAGUCGAUGGGAAACAGGUUAAUAUUCCUGUACUUGGUGUUACUGCGAAGGGGGGACGGAGAAGGCUAUGUUGGCCGGGCGACGGUUGUCCCGGUUUAAGCGUGUAGGCUGGUUUUCCAGGCAAAUCCGGAAAAUCAAGGCUGAGGCGUGAUGACGAGGCACUACGGUGCUGAAGCAACAAAUGCCCUGCUUCCAGGAAAAGCCUCUAAGCAUCAGGUAACAUCAAAUCGUACCCCAAACCGACACAGGUGGUCAGGUAGAGAAUACCAAGGCGCUUGAGAGAACUCGGGUGAAGGAACUAGGCAAAAUGGUGCCGUAACUUCGGGAGAAGGCACGCUGAUAUGUAGGUGAAGUCCCUCGCGGAUGGAGCUGAAAUCAGUCGAAGAUACCAGCUGGCUGCAACUGUUUAUUAAAAACACAGCACUGUGCAAACACGAAAGUGGACGUAUACGGUGUGACGCCUGCCCGGUGCCGGAAGGUUAAUUGAUGGGGUCAGCGCAAGCGAAGCUCUUGAUCGAAGCCCCGGUAAACGGCGGCCGUAACUAUAACGGUCCUAAGGUAGCGAAAUUCCUUGUCGGGUAAGUUCCGACCUGCACGAAUGGCGUAAUGAUGGCCAGGCUGUCUCCACCCGAGACUCAGUGAAAUUGAACUCGCUGUGAAGAUGCAGUGUACCCGCGGCAAGACGGAAAGACCCCGUGAACCUUUACUAUAGCUUGACACUGAACAUUGAGCCUUGAUGUGUAGGAUAGGUGGGAGGCUUUGAAGUGUGGACGCCAGUCUGCAUGGAGCCGACCUUGAAAUACCACCCUUUAAUGUUUGAUGUUCUAACGUGGACCCGUGAUCCGGGUUGCGGACAGUGUCUGGUGGGUAGUUUGACUGGGGCGGUCUCCUCCUAAAGAGUAACGGAGGAGCACGAAGGUUGGCUAAUCCUGGUCGGACAUCAGGAGGUUAGUGCAAUGGCAUAAGCCAGCUUGACUGCGAGCGUGACGGCGCGAGCAGGUGCGAAAGCAGGUCAUAGUGAUCCGGUGGUUCUGAAUGGAAGGGCCAUCGCUCAACGGAUAAAAGGUACUCCGGGGAUAACAGGCUGAUACCGCCCAAGAGUUCAUAUCGACGGCGGUGUUUGGCACCUCGAUGUCGGCUCAUCACAUCCUGGGGCUGAAGUAGGUCCCAAGGGUAUGGCUGUUCGCCAUUUAAAGUGGUACGCGAGCUGGGUUUAGAACGUCGUGAGACAGUUCGGUCCCUAUCUGCCGUGGGCGCUGGAGAACUGAGGGGGGCUGCUCCUAGUACGAGAGGACCGGAGUGGACGCAUCACUGGUGUUCGGGUUGUCAUGCCAAUGGCACUGCCCGGUAGCUAAAUGCGGAAGAGAUAAGUGCUGAAAGCAUCUAAGCACGAAACUUGCCCCGAGAUGAGUUCUCCCUGACCCUUUAAGGGUCCUGAAGGAACGUUGAAGACGACGACGUUGAUAGGCCGGGUGUGUAAGCGCAGCGAUGCGUUGAGCUAACCGGUACUAAUGAACCGUGAGGCUUAACCU
rnacentral:rRNA from 1 species